UACGAAGGGUGCAAGCGUUAAUCGGAAUUACUGGGCGUAAAGCGUGCGUAGGCGGUUUCUUAAGUCUGCUGUGAAAUCCCCGGGCUCAACCUGGGAAUGGCAGUGGAUACUGGGAGGCUAGAGUGUGUCAGAGGGUGGUGGAAUUCCCGGUGUAGCGGUGAAAUGCGUAGAGAUCGGGAGGAACAUCAGUGGCGAAGGCGGCCACCUGGGACAACACUGACGCUGAGGCACGAAAGCGUGGGGAG
rnacentral:rRNA from 2 species